GACACAAACAUGCAACCGUGAUCUGAAAUCUGAAAAGAAAAACAAUCGUUAGAAAAAUAAAUUGGAGAUCAGAUCUCCAUACCUCGGAUCCUACGGAUGUCCCGAGUUCUGAUUGUAGCCAUGUAGACGUCCGACCUCUGUGGAUAUCCAUACGGAGAUGCCUGAUCGGAGCACCGAGAUCAUCGGUAUGCUAGUACCUUGCAGAUCUCGCUCCUCAUCUUUGGAUCU
rnacentral:lncRNA from 1 species